GUGUCCCCUAGAGUUCCUCUGAGCACUUCAUUGGGAAUCUUCGAUUAAAUGAAAGAGUAUUAUCAUUCCUACUGAAGUGUUUGGGGGAACUCCUGGUGUCAU
rfam:Populus trichocarpa scaffold_6_contig_58, whole genome shotgun sequence.